rnacentral:tRNA from 1 species
GCCUUCGUGGUGUAGUGGUCUACAUGUUCGACGCGUAACCGAGAGGUCCGUGGUUCGAUUCCCGGCGAAGGCG